rnacentral:misc_RNA from 1 species
GUGAAUAUAGAGUGCUCAGGCGUAUUUCACCUUUUUAACAAGGUUUGUAAUGCUGCCAAAUGAGGCUCGACUUCCACUUUCAACACUGUGCACUUUUUACAUUUACAUCUAUUGUUCAGGUCCUGCAAGCAAUUGCAGUGAUUCUGUCAAUGGGUGUAUCUUAUCAAACUUUUGGAACACUAGUCUAUGAAUGUUUAUUUCAAAAUAACAAAA